AAUUAUUCUCAGGGCGGGGCGAAAUUCCCCACCGGCGGUAUGUCAGAAAUGACGAGCCCGCGAGCGCCCAAACAUCGUUUGGGGUCAGCAGAUUUGGUGAGAUGCCAAAGCCGACGGUUAGAGUCCGGAUGAAAGAGGAUGAUA
rnacentral:ncRNA from 2 species